UCAAAUUCGACGGAUCACUUAUCAAAAGUCUCAGAUACUUCAGGUGUUACUGGGUCGACACUUUCGUCUUCAGUGCAGGAUUCUGAUGAUAAGGUUGGAGAGACAUCGAAAAAUA
rnacentral:pre_miRNA from 1 species